AUUUAUUGGUCUGGAUGGGACUCGCGGCCUAUCAGCUUGUUAGGUGAGGUAAUGGCUUCACCAAGGCGACGACGGGUAGCCGCGCCUGAGAGGGUGACCGGCCACACUGGGACUGAAGACACGGCCCAGACUCCUACGGGGAGGCAGCAGUGGGGAAUAUUGCACAAUGGCGCAAGCCUGAUGCAGCGACGCCGCGUGAGGGAUGACGGCCUUCGGGUUGUAAACCAUCUUUCAGUAGGGAAGAAGCGAAAGUGACGGUACCUGCAGAAGAGAAGCGCCGGCUAACUACGUGCCAGCAGCCGCGGUAAUACGUAGGGCGCGAGCGUUAUCCGGAAUUAUUGGGCGUAAAGAGCUCGUAGGCGGUUUGUCGCGUCUGCCGUGAAAGUCCGGGGCUUAACCCCGGAUCUGCGGUGGGUACGGGCAGACUAGAGUGCAGUAGGUGGAGACUGGAAUUCCUGGUGUAGCGGGUGAAAUGCGCAGAUAUCAGGAGGAACACCGAUGGCGAAGGCAGGUCUCUGGGCUGUAACUGACGCUG
rnacentral:rRNA from 1 species